rnacentral:rRNA from 1 species
UUUGAGAUGGCCUCUCGCCCUAUUCAGUGUAACAGCUGUGGUAGUGGGUUUGGUCGCUCGCAUUUAAAUUGGAAGGGUAAUGGUGGACCGCACUUCUCCCUUAGUAGGACGUUGCGACCUGUCAAAUAAUAUCCUAAGUAUUUGGCUAAUUUGUCUGUUUUUAGGCAGUACUGAAAGGUAUUUCCUUUAACAGUUUUAGCCGUUUACAUACUGGAUAUAAUUGACAGUAACGAAUCAUGGUGUUGAGCCACUUACUUUGUAAGUGUCCUUUAUGGCUGUUUGCAAGUGGGUUGGUUAAUUAGUUUUAGUCGGAUUUUGGUCCGUCUAACUAUUCCGCCUACUGUUGGUAAACUGUUCCUUGGACAGUGCUUAUAACACCGGUCGGCAGCGAUUCAGGUUCAGGCUCUUAUCCGACCCGUCUUGAAACACGGACCAAGGAGUUUAGCGUGUACGCAAGUCAUUGGGUGUAUAAAACCCAAAGGCGCAAUGAAA